GAUGAACGCUGGCGGCGUGCCUAAUACAUGCAAGUCGAACGCAUAGCGAAAGGUGCUUGCACCUUUCAAGUGAGUGGCGAACGGGUGAGUAGCACGUGGACAACCUGCCUCAAGGCUGGGGAUAACAUUUGGAAACAGAUGCUAAUACCGAAUAAAACUUAGUGUCGCAUGACACAAAGUUAAAAGGCGCUUCGGCGUCACCUAGAGAUGGAUCCGCGGUGCAUUAGUUAGUUGGUGGGGUAAAGGCCUACCAAGACAAUGAUGCAUAGCCGAGUUGAGAGACUGAUCGGCCACAUUGGGACUGAGACACGGCCCAAACUCCUACGGGAGGCUGCAGUAGGGAAUCUUCCACAAUGGGCGAAAGCCUGAUGGAGCAACGCCGCGUGUGUGAUGAAGGCUUUCGGGUCGUAAAGCACUGUUGUAUGGGAAGAACAGCUAGAAUAGGAAAUGAUUUUAGUUUGACGGUACCAUACCAGAAAGGGACGGCUAAAUACGUG
rnacentral:rRNA from 1 species